UCUCUCCGAAUUCUUGAAUUCUUCAGCCCGGGCCGCCGCUGCCCUCCUGGUCCCUCCGGGCCGCACGCGCGGCAGGGAGCGAGCAGCAUCCGGUCCCUUCCGGAGCGCGCAGGCGGCGCCUUCUCAGCGUGCGCCCGGGGUGGGUCGACAGCGACCGGGACGGGAGGCGGGAGCGUUCCCGGAGGCUGCGGAGAGCCCCGCUUUGUCUCAAGGGACCGCUGGGAAGUUUCCUCCUUUUCCCGCCCGCAUCCCUCUCCUUCCAGGUGCUCCAGGAAGUCGCCGGAGCUGAAGGUGAAGAAACUGAGGCCCAGAAAGGUGCUAGCAGCAAUAGUGAGGGUGGAUGUAAAAGGGAAUACUUUAUAAGCCACUUCCCUGGCUAAAAUGCUAAUUGCCACAAACUGAUCAUCAUUUGAAUGAAGAGUGUUAAAACUGAAAAACAGUGAAUACCAAGACUAACAGAAUUUUUAGCUGAGCGUUGGACCACCUGGAAUAAAUACUUCCCAGAUGCCUUUGAGCUAGUGUUGCCAUUUAACUAAGUUCUGGCCAGUGAGAUGUAAGUGGAACUGCCCUGUGGCAGCUUGAGAACCUUCCUGAAGAGAAGGCUGGGACAUGUUUUUUGUCAGUCUUCUCUCACAUUCCUCCAUCUUCCUGCCUGGAACACAGAUGUUUUGGACAAUGAAGUUGAAACAUCACAUUAUGAAGGAACCAGAGAAAAAGAGCCGGGCUCUCUGCAUAUGGAGCACCAUAUUAGCCCUGAACUGCCUGCAUGGACUUUAAAACAAGAGAGAAAUAAACAUUUAUCCUGCUUAAGCCACUGCAGUUAGGGCUUUCUGUCAGUUCCAGUCAAACCUAACCCUACUGAACGCACCAGCUUUAAGGUUCACUGAGUCCACGUGGGGAGCAAACCACUACCUAUUUAAAAUCCAAUUAAAAAGACAUAGACUGUUUUUCUUUGUUCUUGUGGAUAACACAGAUAAAAAAGAAAAACAAACAAAAAUAGAUAUCAUAGUGGAAAACAUUUU
rnacentral:lncRNA from 1 species